UCUCAGAAAGCACUAGAGCAAUGACUUGUUAAAUACCGGUAGUCAGAAGAGACUCGAUGCAUUAGAGUGCUUAAAUCACACCGGAGGACUGCUGGCUACAAACUCAAAUUCCUUGUGGAAAACUUGUAUGACAUUGCUUAAUGAUAAAUUGUCUCCAAAAGUGCAUUUCUCUAAUAUUAGAUUAUUAUGGCAUUACAUUGCUGGAUUUAAUGAUGGCUUUGGAGUGCUAACCAGUUCCAUUUUUCUAUUAAAAGCUUAGCGUGGUUAUAGUUUUAACAUACCGCGUUGUUUAUCAGUGUGUGUUUGUAAGAGGAAGAGCAUAUGUGUGUUUUCAAUGGGUAUAUUCGGUCAUUUAUUUAGUGAUAUUGGUUAAAUAAUAAUAUGUAAAAUGAGGCAUUAUAUAUAGUCUUCACUAAUACCUUGGAGGUAUUGCAGAUAAAGCAAUGAAGCAAUAACACGAGUUGAAAUAUUUUUGCUGGUGGAGGGUUUUACAUUUAAUUUGUAAAAAACUCAAUACCUAUGAAGUGCAAUAAAACGAGAUGUGCCUGUAUAGCACCCAAGGGUGCUAUAGGAUAUAUCGAAGAAAUGAAAGCUGCUAUUUUUAGUUAUAGGGAGAUUAACGUACCAUUUAUGUCUAGAGAAUUAGAGAGGAAUUUGGUCCAGGAUGUUCUCAUCUUCAGAGAGAGAGAGAGAGCACGCGCGCGCAAGCGAGCGCGUGAGUGAGUGAGCACGUGUGUGUGUGUGUGUGUGUGUGUGUAAUUUGGAAAUAUAAGGGCUCAAAGUUUAGAGAACAUUGGUUGUACAUUCGUGCCUUUUGUGUUUUAAGUUGUGUGUUUAUUCCUGUAGAAAUCAAUUAUCUGAUCAUGUACCAAGCAGUCAUUUGCUACAUAAAGGUGAGGCAAUCUUGUAGAAAACACACUGAAAGCCUAAAUUAAAUUGUCUCUGCCACCCCUUCCCUCUAUAAACUUGAUUGACCAAAACCCUUAACUAUUCCAUACUUUCAAUUUCCUAAUAAGAAAACUAUGAUAAUAAAACCUAUUUUAGAUAUAACCAAUAACUAAUAGCUGCCACAAUAGUCUCAUCAGCAAAAAUAGUAAUCUGCUGGCUCACUCAUACUAUCCUCUAAUCCUGUUUCCCAGAAGCAACUACUUCUUUUAGUAUCUACCUCUAUAUGUCUUAAACAAUUGUUUAUGUUGCUGUUUAUUAAUUUACUAUUUUAGACAUUAUCUACUCAGUAGGUGUUAUGGUAGAUGAGCAUUUAAUUUCUUCCAUCAACCUUCCCCUACUCCACCUUGACCUCAUUCUCCCAAUAUAGAAUGUAUAUCAUGUUUUGAAACAUUAAUAUGUAAAUACGUGCUUAAGUCAAGUAGUAUUCAUGAUAUGUUUAGUUUCUUGAAUAACCUUUUGUUCUUCUUGGACUUUACAAUUGUCUCUGAUUUUUAUUAAUUUUGUUGUCUUUGUUCCUGUUAAUUAUUUAUAGCUAUAAAAGAUUUGUCAAUUAUGUGUGAAAAAAAACUUCCAAAUCCUCAAACAUAUCAGCAAAUCUAUCAAUCCCAUUUAAUUCUCUUGACGUCUCCCUCCCUCAUCCUUUUCCUUGAAAUUUCCCUCUGUCGGCUCUCUGAUUUCUUGUCUUAGUAUAGCUGAACAUCUGUCAUCUUGGAACAUCCAUUUGCUUCUCUCCUGUUGUUUUAGGUCCUAAGAUAGUUAGUUAUUGUCUGUUUCCCUCCAGAUAUGUUCUUUUCCCCCUUCUGCCCUGCCCUAUGUCCUAGAUGCCUGGCCCCGAGGGACUGCAUCAUCCACGCCGUCUUGGCUAUGUUUCCAGUUGGGUUCAGGCAACAGACUAGUGGGAGAAGAGGGAGAUUGUACAUUCUUUCCUAAAUCUUCCCUACUUUAGCCCAUAUUUGAGGGGAAGUCCGUGGCUUUCACUGUCAAUAGAUUUCAAUAACAUUUGACUUUUUUAAUUAUAGGGAGAAUAAUGGCUUUUAGUUCUAAUGGCUUCCUGCUGUUGCUAGCCUCUUAGCGUUUCAGUGCCUUAUCAGUUCCCUUACUCCUCUGGAAGUAGUUACUUUGUUAAAGUUUUUUCUGGGUUGGAUUCAUUUUCCUUCUGGACCUUUAUUGGUUACAGAUUCCCUAGUUCCUGUAUUCCAUGUCUCCUCCCUUAGUUUCCUAAGAAAGAAUGCAUUAGAGAUAGUUAUCAAAUUCUUAGUUUUCUGGAAAUGUUCAUUCUACUCCCUCACACAUGAUUGAUAAAGUUUCAAUCUGAUUAUAUAAUUAGGCUUUUCCCCUUCAGAAUUUUGAAUGCAUUGCCUAAUCUCUUUAGAGCAUCUAGUAUUGCUGCUAAGUCUGACUCCAUUCUCGUUCGCAGCUGUUUCUGUGCCUCCUACUUUCUCUCUGGAAAGUAUGAGGCUCUUCCCUCCAUCUUUGGUAUUCUAAAAUGUCAUGAUAAUGAACUUUGUGUCUUUUUCUGUUGGUGUAGGUUCCCUUCGAUAUAAAGGCAUCCUUUUCAGUUCCUAGAAAGGUUGUCAAAUUUCUUUUUUAUAUGAUUUCUUUCCUUCCAUCACCUUUGUCUUUGCUUUUUGUGAAAGUGUAUAAUAGUUUGAUACUGGAUCUCCUAUCUCAAUACUCUUUUUUUAAACCUUAUUUCUUAUUUUACAACUUUUUACCUUCCAAACCGUCUAUUCUUUUUUUCAAAAUUUGCUAUCAUAUAUAUAACCUCCACUUCUUUUUUUCUCUGGUUUCUAUUGGAAGCUUUCCUCAAAUAUCAACGUGAGUGGAAUCCUUGACUGUCUAUUUACUUUUAUAAAUGAGUCACUAAUUGACUGGUUCGUUCAUUAUAUAUUGUUCAGACAAAAAGCUGGACUUUUCAUUGAGAGAUCCUGAAAUGUCAGUGUCUGAAGGCCUAUUUUUUGUUCUUCUUCAGAUACUCAUUUCUGGCAGCUGACAUUCUCACAAUGGGAGAAGGCAGCUGAUGGUCACACAGACCAAUAAACAUAUUUUUCACCUAAUUCCCUUUUUUUCAGCUCUGUGCCUCAUCCUGCUUUCACUUUUUAUCCUCAUUUUGAAGUCUUUUGGAUUUGAUUUCUCCAGAGAAUAAAUACUCAGUAUCCUGCUGUUUUGCUCUUCAAAUGCAUCCCUAGAUUCCGGUUUAUAAAAGAUGCUCUGGAUGGAGAGAAAUAAUACAAUAAUUAAAAAAUAAAGUCUAACUUAGCCAAAAUAACCUAUCACUGGCCAAGAAACAGCCUGCUAAAUUUCAUGAAAAAAAUAAACUAAAACAAAACUCAAUCAUAGUCUGCGACAGGCACUUACUAAUUAUUAAAGACAGUGUCUGAAUAACUUUCUGUUUUCCUAUACAAAUGUUCAUGUUUUGCUAUGGUAUUUCAUGUUUCUUUAUAUUUCCAUGUGACAAUAGAUUUCAAGAAGGAGAUAUUUAUAUAUAACUGUGUUUUCUAUAGAAUCUGUCAAGGAUUUUUUGUUCUUAUUGAUAAUCUAAUGGUUCUUCCUUCAUUGUUAGCUUUUACUGUGUUUCCUCUGAAAGUGGAAUAUAUUGAUAGUCUAACAUAAAUAAAUUUAAAAACUUUAUCAACUAUAAAA